rnacentral:lncRNA from 1 species
CCCUGGCACAUAAGUUGUUGAAAUACAACCCUUCAAUUACUUGAACCUUGGCUUGUAAAAUAUUUCCCAAGUCAUCUAUAGUGUUUAACUUCUGAUAUACAUUUUAAAAUAUAGUAAUCUACUACUGAAUCGUCCGCGAAAACGGCUAAUAUAAUCCGGGGUUUUUAUUUAUUCGAUGAAACGGUUUUCGUCGCUGUUUGGGAUUUGUCUUUCAAUUACCUACAUUUCAUGCACAAGUUAAUAUUGACGAAAAGUUCCGGCUUCGCUAGUACAGGAAUAACUUUCAUCACGACAGUUAUAGCAUGAAUAGCAGGACAAAUCGCAAAGUAAAACAUUCCGUGAACUGGUAUUUUAAGUCUUUUAAUAUUGGUGAUUGCACCUUACUGAAGUGACGACUUUAAAUGAUCUAUUUCGGAGUACUUCCGCAACAUAAAUUUCAAUUCGCAUUUUACAUUAAGAGGACUGUCUUGGUGUCUCC